UAAGGAAUAUUGGUCAAUGGACGCAAGUCUGAACCAGCCAUGCCGCGUGAAGGAUGAAGGUCCUCUGGAUUGUAAACUUCUUUUAUCUGGGACGAAAACGGGAUUUUUAUCUCAAUUGACGGUACCAGAGGAAUAAGCACCGGCUAACUCCGUGCCAGCAGCCGCGGUAAUACGGAGGGUGCGAGCGUUGUCCGGAUUUACUGGGUUUAAAGGGUGCGUAGGUGGGCUUAUAAGUCAGUGGUGAAAUCUCCGAGCUUAACUUGGAAACUGCCGUUGAUACUAUAGGUCUUGAAUUAUCUGGAGGUAAGCGGAAUAUGUCAUGUAGCGGUGAAAUGCUUAGAUAUGACAUAGAACACCAAUUGCGAAGGCAGCUUACUACAUAUAAAUUGACGCUGAGGCACGAAAGCGUGGGGAUCAAACA
rnacentral:rRNA from 1 species